AGACGUCUACAUUAGAUACCCGGGUAGUCCCAGCCGUAAACUAUGCGCGUUAGGUGUAUCGGUGACCACGAGUCACCGAGGUGCCGAAGGGAAACCGUGAAACGUGCCGCCUGGGAAGUACGGUCGCAAGGCUGAAACGUAAAGGAAUUGGCGGGGGAGCACCACAACAGGUGGAGCCUGCGGUUUAAUCGGACUCAACGCCGGGAAGCUCACCGGAUAGGACAGCAGAAUGAUUGCCGGGCUGAAGACCCUGCAUGACUAGCUG
rnacentral:rRNA from 1 species